UACGUAGGGGGCAAGCGUUGUCCGGAUUUAUUGGGCGUAAAGAGCGUGUAGGCGGCCAGACAGGUCUGUUGUGAAAACUCGAGGCUCAACCUCGAGAUGUCGAUGGAAACCGUCUGGCUAGAGUCCGGAAGAGGAGUGUGGAAUUCCUGGUGUAGCGGUGAAAUGCGCAGAUAUCAGGAAGAACACCUAUGGCGAAGGCAGCACUCUGGGACGGUACUGACGCUGAGACGCGAAAGCGUGGGGAGCGAACAGG
rnacentral:rRNA from 1 species